CAUAAGCAAAAUAAGGGCGUAUGGGGGAUGCCUAGGCUCUCAGAGGCGAAGAAGGGCGUGAUAAGCUGCGAAAAGCUACGGGGAUUGGCACACACGAAUUAAUCCGUAGAUACCCGAAUGGGGCAACCCACUAUGUUGAAGACAUAGUACUCCGAUAGGAGGGCAAACCCGCUGAACUGAAACAUCUAAGUAGGCGGAGGAGAAGAAAACAAAAGUGAUUCCGUAAGUAGUGGCGAGCGAACGCGGAUUAGCCCAAACCAAAGAUGUUACGGCAUUUUUGGGGUUGUAGGACCACGAUAUUUGUUGCGGAUUGAAUUAGAAUAACCUGGAAAGGUUAACCACAGAGGGUGAUAGUCCCGUAUAAGUAAAAGAAGAUAACGAUAGUGGCAUCCUGAGUAGGGCGGGGCACGUGAAACCCUGUCUGAAUUUGGCGGGACCAUCCGCUAAGGCUAAAUACUCCUGAGAGACCGAUAGUGAACCAGUACCGUGAGGGAAAGGUGAAAAGAACCGUGAAUAACGGAGUGAAAUAGAUCCUGAAACCAUACGCUUACAAGCGGUCGGAGCUCCUUUAUGGGGUGACGGCGUGCCUUUUGCAUAAUGAGCCUACGAGUUAACGUUGCUGGCAAGGAUAAGAGCUUAAGGCUUGGAUCCGUAGCGAAAGCGAGUCUGAAUAGGGCGCUUUAGUCAGUAGUGUUAGACGCGAAACCGUGUGAUCUACCCAUGGGCAGGAUGAAGCUGUGGUAACACAUAGUGGAGGUCCGAACCGGUUGACGUUGAAAAGUCUUCGGAUGACCUGUGGGUAGGGGUGAAAGGCCAAUCAAACUCGGAAAUAGCUCGUACUCCCCGAAAUGCAUUUAGGUGCAGCGUUGGUUAUAAGUUAUAUAGAGGUAGAGCUACUGAUUGGAUGCGGGGGCUUCACCGCCUACCAAUUCCUGACAAACUCCGAAUGCUAUAUAAUGUUUACCAGCAGUGAGGGCUUGGGUGCUAAGGUCCAAGUCCGAGAGGGAAAGAACCCAGACCAUCAGCUAAGGUCCCCAAAUAUAUGCUAAGUUGAAAAAACGAGGUUUGUCUGCCCAGACAGCUAGGAUGUUGGCUUGGAAGCAGCCAUUCAUUUAAAGAGUGCGUAACAGCUCACUAGUCGAGCGGACGAGCAUGGAUAAUAAUCGGGCAUAAGCAUAUUACCGAAGCUAUGGAUUUUACAUUAAGUUGUAAAGUGGUAGGGGAGCAUUCUAACAGGGUUGAAGGUGUAUCGUGAGGUAUGCUGGACUGGUUAGAAAAGAAAAUGUAGGCAUAAGUAACGAUAAUGCGGGCGAGAAACCCGCACACCGAAAGACUAAGGUUUCCUCAGCUAUGCUAAUCAGCUGAGGGUUAGUCGGGUCCUAAGGCGAACCCGAAAGGGACAGUCGAUGGCCAACGGGUUAAUAUUCCCGUACUACUUAUAGUUGUGAUGGGGUGACGCAGUGGUGAAAGUACCGCGAACUGACGGAAUAGUUCGUUGAAGGUUGUAGCUAUAUUCCAGAUAGGCAAAUCCGUUUGGAAUGGUAAAGACUGAUAGUACUCGGAGUCUUCGGACAAAGAGAUAGUGUACCUAAAGGCUGCCAAGAAAAGCUUCUAAACUUAGAUAAUAAGUACCCGUACCGUAAACCGACACAGGUAGUCGAGGAGAGAAUCCUAAGGUGCUCGAGAGAUUCAUGGCUAAGGAAUUAGGCAAAAUAGACCUGUAACUUCGGGAGAAAGGUCGCCCCGAGCAAUCGGGGCCGCAGUGAAAAGGUCCAGGCGACUGUUUAUCAAAAACACAGGGCUCUGCCAAAUCGUAAGAUGAAGUAUAGGGCCUGACACCUGCCCGGUGCUGGAAGGUUAAGAGGAGAUGUUAUCCGCCUCGGCGGAGAAGCAUUGAAUUGAAGCCCCAGUAAACGGCGGCCGUAACUAUAACGGUCCUAAGGUAGCGAAAUUCCUUGUCGGGUAAGUUCCGACCUGCACGAAUGGUGUAACGAUCUGGACACUGUCUCAGCCAUGAGCUCGGUGAAAUUGUAGUAUCGGUGAAGAUGCCGAUUACCCGCAGUGGGACGAAAAGACCCUGUGCACCUUUACUAUAGCUUAGUAUUGGUCUUGGAUAAGUGAUGUGUAGGAUAGGUGGGAGACUGUGAAGUGGCGUCGCUAGGCGUUGUGGAGUCAUUGUUGAAAUACCACCCUUUGCUUAUCUGAGAUCUAACCCGCUAAUGGCGGGGACAUUGCUUGGUGGGUAGUUUGACUGGGGUGGUCGCCUCCAAAAGAGUAACGGAGGCUUCUAAAGGUUCCCUCAGCACGCUUGGUAACCGUGCGUAGAGUG
rnacentral:rRNA from 1 species